UUCCACAUUGAUCGACUCCGAGUGAUCACUUCGAACCUGCAUCAGCUGGAUGGGGAUAGAUUAUUGCAAUUAUUAAUCUUCAACGAGGAAUGCCUAGUAAGCGCGAGUCAUCAGCUCGCGUUGAUUACGUCCCUGCCCUUUGUACACACCGCCCGUCGCUCCUACCGAUUGGGUGUGCUGGUGAAGCGUUCGGAUUGGAGUUGGUAGGUGGUUCGCCGCCCGCCCUCUCUGAGAAGUUCGUUAAACCCUCCCACCUAGAGGAAGGAGAAGUCGUAACAAGGUUUCCGUAGGUGAAUUUACUAUGCGGAC
rnacentral:rRNA from 1 species